rnacentral:rRNA from 1 species
CAGCAGCCGCGGUAACACGGAGGGGGCUAGCGUUGUUCGGAAUUACUGGGCGUAAAGCGCACGUAGGCGGCUUUGUAAGUUAGAGGUGAAAGCCCGGGGCUCAACCCCGGAAUUGCCUUUAAGACUGCAGAGCUAGCAGGUGAGAGAGGUGAGUGGAAUUCCGAGUGUAGAGGUGAAAUUCGUAGAUAUUCGGAGGAACACCAGUGGCGAAGGCGGCUCACUGGUCCAUUACUGACGCUGAGGUGCGAAAGCGUGGGGAGCAAACAGGAUUAGAUACCCCCGUAGUCCCUGUCUCUUAUAC